rnacentral:rRNA from 1 species
UACGUAGGGUGCGAGCGUUAAUCGGAAUUACUGGGCGUAAAGCGUGCGCAGGCGGUUCGUUAAGUCAGAUGUGAAAGCCCCGAGCUCAACUUGGGAACUGCAUUUGAAACUGGCGGGCUGGAGUGUGGCAGAGGGGGGUGGAAUUCCACGUGUAGCAGUGAAAUGCGUAGAGAUGUGGGGGAACACCGAUGGCGAAGGCAGCCCCCUGGGCCAACACUGACGCUCAGGCACGAAAGCGUGGGGAGCAAACAGG